UGGAGCAUCCCUUGUCAAGUUUGUCUGUUGAAGGCUCAGUGAGAGCUGAUGGAGAGAGUUUCCAAGAAAUUGUUAAACAGGGGGAGUUCAGUGUUAGAAAUGAUACCAUUAGAGGUCCUGGGGGCGGUUCUGGAGGAAGUAUACUGUUGUUUCUGAAUACACUGGAUCUUGGUGAGUCUGCUGUUCUUUCAAGUGGUGGGGGCUAUGGUGUGCCAAAUGGGGCUGGUGGAGGAGGUGGUGGUAGGAUUCACUUCCAUUGGUCAGACAUUCCCACUGGAGAUGUGUACCAGCCCAUUGC
rnacentral:misc_RNA from 1 species